UACGUAGGGGGCUAGCGUUGUCCGGAAUCAUUGGGCGUAAAGCGCGUGUAGGCGGCCCGGUAAGUCCGCUGUGAAAGUCGGGGGCUCAACCCUCGGAUGCCGGUGGAGUACUGUCGGGCUAGAGUGCGGAAGAGGCGAGUGGAAUUCCUGGUGUAGCGGUGGAAUGCGCAGAUAUCAGGAGGAACACCGAUGGCGAAGGCAGGUCUCUGGGCCACUACUGACGCUGAGAAGCGAAAGCAUGGGGAGCAAACGGG
rnacentral:rRNA from 1 species